CCUACGGGAGGCAGCAGUGGGGGAUAUUGCACAAUGGGGGAAACCCUGAUGCAGCGACGCCGCGUGUGGGAAGACGGUCCUCUGGAUUGUAAACCACUGUCCCCAGGGACGAAGAUGACGGUACCUGGGGAGGAAGCUCCGGCUAACUACGGGCCAGCAGCCGCGGUAAUACGUAGGGAGCGAGCGUUGUCCGGAAUUACUGGGUGUAAAGGGAUCGUAGGCGGGGAUGAAAGUUGGCGGUCAAAACUACCGGCUCAACUGGGAAUCGCACUCAAAACUGCAGCUCUUGAGUGAAGUAGAGGCAGGCGGAAUUCCUAGUGUAGCGGUGAAAUGCGUAGAUAUUAGGAGGAACACCAGUGGCGAAGGCGGCCUGCUGGGCUUUUACUGACGCUGAGGCUCGAAAGUGUGGGGAGCAAACAGGAUUAGAUACCCUUGUAGUC
rnacentral:rRNA from 1 species